rnacentral:miRNA from 1 species
AAUUGCAACAUUAAUUCAUGCACUGUAACGUGUGUGUGUGUGUGUGUAUAUGUGUGUGUAUAUAUACACACACACGUUACACAC